AUGAGAGCUCUACCAUUUUUAAACCUUGCCACCAUUUUAGAAACCACUCAAGUCAUUCCCAAUGACCUUCACCUUCUCCGACCACAUUCUGGCCUUGCUGGUCACACUUUUGAAGGCCUUGAUUGCCUAAGUUGGCUUCUAGCCGUGGAAACUGACAACCUCCGUGACUAGUCAGUAGUUCCAAAAGACUGAAAACUAUGUUGGAAACUACAUGCUUGGCAAACAAUACCAUGAGGAUUGUCAAGUUGUGGCCAAUGCUGCCUAUGUAACUAACAUAGUUACAUAUUUUGAAAGUCUAAUUAUUAGAUUGUAUGUUUUUUAAGUUUUAACACGAAUGUCAAAUUUGGUGUCAAUCAAAUGUUAUUUACUAUUGAAUUCAUAAACUUAUUUUUUAUGCAUACUUUUAGAUUACAAAAACUUAAAAUUUAAACAUUUAAUUGAUAGCAUAGUUAUUGAUCUUUGAUUCUCUAAAAAUUUUGUAAUCAUAGAAGAUAUAAGAAAAAAAUAUAAUCUAAUGAUGGAUUUAUCGAAAUUCAAGUCCAAUAAAAUGAUAUUGAGUGGAGUUGUAGUUAUUGCCUACAUUAUGGGAUCUAUAUUUUUCUUUCUAAUAUAUGUUAUCUUUUCCUAUGCAUUACUGUCUCUCUCUCUCUCUCUCUCUCUCUCUCUCUCUCUCUCUCUCUCUCUCUCUCUCUCUCUCUCUCUCUCUCUCUCUCUCUCUCUCUCUCUCUCUCUCUCUCUCUCUCUCUCUCUCUCGGGGCAAUUGCAUAUAACUCAACAGCCUUUGGAGAUUGGGUAUUGAAAGGCAUAGCACCAUACUAUUAAUCGCAUUCCGAGUCUUGUUAUCCAAAAUCAAACUCCAUAUGAGCGCCUUUUUGGGUCACCUCCAGACUAUUACUACCUUCGCUCUUUCGAUUCUGCUUGUUUUGUUCUUCUUCAGUCACAUGAACAUAACAAACUUGAGCCUCGGUCAAGGCUUUGUUAUUUUCUUGGCUAUGGUGAAACUCAAAAGGGGUAUAAGUGUUAUGAUCCUGUCUCUUAUUGUCUUCGUAUCUCCAGCAAUGUUGUCUUUUGGGAACAUCGCCUUUUUGUCGAGCUCUCUCAUUUUAGUGCUUCCUUGUCUUCCUCCUCUGUCUUAGAUCUUUUUCCAGAUGAGGCACAUAUUCCUUCUGUAGCUGCUCCUGAUCUUCUUGUAGUUGCUCCUGAUUCUGUUGCUGUAGACUUCUCUGUCCAAUCACCAAAUAUCACUGAUCCCUUUCCUAGUUCACCCUUUAAUGAACAGGUGGGAGAUGAACAGGUUGAAGACGAGCUACCCAACCCCAAUCCUGAGCUUGGGUCUCCUGCUCCUGCUCCGCCUGAAGAUCUUGCACAAGACAUUCCACCUCGUCACUCAACUCGGGUAAGAUCUAUUCCUGCAUAUUUACUUGACUAUCAUUGUUACACUGCCCUUACUACACUACACGAGCCUCACACCUAUUGUGAGGCUUCCACUGACCCUUUAUGGCAAAUUGCAAUGAAAGAGAAAGUUGAUGCAUUAUCUAAAAACCACACUUGGGAUUUGGUGACACUUCCUCCUAAGAAAUCUGUGGUUGGUUAUAAGUGGAUCUACAAGAUUAAGACUUGCUCUGAUAGGUACAUUGAGCGCUACAAAACUCGUCUUGUUGCAAAAGGUUUUACACAAGAGUAUGAGAUUAAUUAUGAAGAGACCUUUGCUCUGGUUGCUUGUAUCUCAUCUAUUCGUGCCCUCUUAGCUGUUGUUGCUGCCAGUAAAUGGAACCUUUUUCAAAUGGAUGUCAAAAAUGCAUUCCUUAAUGGGGAUUUAAGUGAAGAAGUGUAUAUGCAACCUCCUUUUGGUCUCUUUGUUGACUCAAACAAGGUUUUUCACCUUCGAUAUGCACUUUAUGGCCUUAAACAAGCUCCACGAGUUUGGUUUGCUAAAUUCAGCUCUACCAUCUCUCGCUUGGGUUACAUAGCCAGUCAUUAUGAUUCUGCCUUAUUUCUUCGUCGCUUUGACAAAGGCAUUAUUUACUUCUCUAUAUGUGGAUGAUAUGAUCAUAACUGGUGAUGACCUCAGUGGCAUUUAAGAACUCAAGGCUUUUCUCAGUCAGCAGUUUGAGAUGAAAGAUCUUGGACAUCUUAUCUACUUCUUGGGUCUUGAAAUCACUCAUUCUACAGAUGGACUUUAUAUUACUCAAGUCAAGUAUGCCUUUUAACUCUUGUCUUGAGUUUUACUCAUUGAUAGCAAGACUGUUGACACUUUAUUUGAGCUUAAUGCUCAUCUGACUCUCUCAGUGGGGAAACCAUUGUCUAAUCCCUCUCUUUAUAUAUGCUUGGUUGGUAGCUUAGUUUAUCUCUCUGUCACUCGUCCAGACAUUUCCUAUGCUGUUCACUAGGUUAGUCAUUAUCUGUUUGCACUACGAUCUACUCAUUAUACUUCUUUUCUUCAUAUUCUUCGAUACCUAAAGGGCACUAUCUUCCAUGGUCUUUUUUACUUUGCUCAGUCUCCUCUUAUUCUCUUUUCAUUUUCUUAUGCUGAUUUGGUAUGAGAUCCCACUGAUCUCUGGUCUACCACUUGUUAUUGCUUUCUUCUUGGUUUUUCUCUGAUUUCUUGGCGAAGUAAGAAAUAAACUCAUGUGGCCCGCUCUAGUACUGAAGCAGAAUAUCGUGCUCUUGCUGAUACCACAUCUGAGCUCCUUUGUCUAUUAUGUCUUCUUAAAGACUUAUUUGUGUCUACAUCCUCUGCUACUUCUUUUUAUUUUGACAACCAGAUUGCUAUUCAUAUUGCUCACAAUGAUGUCUUCCAUGAACUUACUAAACACAUCGAGAUCGAUUGUCAUUUUAUCCGUUUUCAUCUUGUCCAUUGUUCUCUCAAUCUGAUCUCAGUCUCCUCUAAAGAUCAACUUGCAGAUAUUUUCACCAAGUCACAUCUUAAGGGACGCUUUCGUACUUUGGUUGACAACCUCAAGUUUGUCUCACAUCCACCUUGAGUUUGAGGGUGUCUUUUGACGUUUAUAAUAUAGUGGGUUUUAGGUCUAAUUAAAUUACUUGUAUAGCACACAUCUUGUACUACACUUUACAUGUAUUACACACAUAUUCCUCUUAUAUUAAUGCAUCCAUGUAUAUUCUUUAAUCGUGAAAUACAAUACAAAUUAUUCAGUAUUUCUAACUAUAUUAAUUAAUUAAGAACACCAUUAUAUACAUAUUAUUAUACACCAUUCAUGAUUAUAUCAAUUUGGUGGCAGGAACUCCUCUGAAACGGGUCGAGUAUCAUCACUAGCGUACAAAACAACCAAAAGAGCUGAACUUGAAGCUGUGGGGUAUAGGAUCCUUGGCAACAUGGGUGAUCAUUGGACCGAUUUGUUGGGUACAAAUUUUGGCAAUCGGACAUUUAAAGUGCCUGAUCCAUUGUACUACGUUAGUUAAAAUUUGCAUUUUAUGAUCUUAUGAUUAAAAAGGUCUAGAGCUAAUAUUAUUGGAAGCACCUGGUAAGUUAUAACUUCAGCUCUAUGCUUUGUACCAUGCCAAGUUUAUGGCUUGAUAUUAAUUAGGAAAAGACUUGAUAGAGCUUAUCAUCACAGUGGCGUGGUGCAUGUGGUACAACCGUAACAAGACACGGCUUGGCUCCACCAGACAGACCAGCCACGAGAUUAUCCACAAAGCUCGCUCCAUCCUUGAAGACUUCCAGCUAGCUCACCUCGCACGGCCUCUCUUCAAAGAACAAGCUGAUACUCGCUCGAUUCCUCCAUCACACCCAUGGUAUAAAGUCAAAACCGAUGCUGUAGUUUUUUCAAACCUUAAAACUGUCGGUAUCAGUGUUGUAAUUCGUGACCAUGAGGGAUUGGUGAUAGCUACUUUGAGUAAACACUUACCACUACCAUCGGGUCCUUUGGAGGCAGAAGUAAAGGCCGUAGAUGAAGCGGUCUCCUUUGCAUGGGAUAUUGGGAUCAGGGAGGUGAUAUUUGAGACAGGCUCAAAGUUAGUCUCUGAUGCUCUCUAUGGUACCAUUACUCCUGGUCUCAAUUGUGGACAUCAUCGGAGGGACUCUUCACCAACUGCAAGCCUUUAGAUGAACUCAACUUCAACAUGUGAGGCGGAAAGCAAACCAAGCAACACAUACUUUAACAAGACAUGCUAAAGGAAUUAGUGAUUUUGUAACUUGAAUAGAGGAAAGUCCAUCCUUUUUUGACUCCCUUGUGUUUUAAGAUGCUAUAUACUGAUCAUCUUCUUAUAAAUAAAGUUUCAGUACAUGCAUGAAACUUUAAUAAGAAGAGGAAAGUCCGCCCUUCCUUAAAAUGUGGGCGCUUUUUUUAAUUUUUUGUUUUUGUGUGCACUAUGCCUUAAAUUAGAUAAGUAAGACUAUUUUAUGUGUUUUUAUUUUGGGUUGUAAGGGUGCUUGAACUGGCUCUUGCACUUGCCUGUUGAGAACUCACAUUCUCGAUCGAUAUUGUUAUGUUUUUUUUUUAAAUUUUGAUAUGUCAUUUGAUGAAGCAAAAAUUUGUCAGUUAUGCUUCCGUCAAUAUAGAUGGAUGAUGCCAAAUAAUUCCACUGGCCAAUCCGCAAAGAAAGGUCACAAAUGGAUAAAAAGAAAGAGCACCAAUGUGAUGUUGGCUAAGAAUCUUUCAAUGAUUAAAUUAGAUUCAAGAGACAAAAUUCACUUGCCAGAAUCAAAGAGCUCAAAUGGCUAAAUAUUGUAAUUAAUAUUUGUAUUUAUGGGUUAGGAGACACCUCCAACGGUCAUCGUUGGGCUACGUGUUACUCUUUUAUUAUAUGGCGCAUUAAAUGACAUAUAUUACUUCAUCUGUCUAUGUUAUGGGUGGUGAUCAUAAUUUUAUCCUCAUCAAUUGUUAUGUUUUCAUAUUUCUGUCUUUUACUAUAAAAUAAAAAGGAAAAUGCUAACGAAUGUUCUUAAGACAUUAGUUAAUAAUCUAUUUUAAGAAAGUUUUGACACCACCUUUAUAAUAAAUAAAAAAGCUGCCAAAAUAUUAAUUGCUUUUUUUUUUCUUCUUUUCUCAUAAAAACUUUCUUUAACUGGAUUGUUAACCAAUACCCUAAAGGCACUCAUUAGCAUUACCCAAACAAAAAUUAUACAUGAAAAAUAUGUUCACUAGAGUUUUUUUUCUCUUAAUAAAAAUAUGAAAACUAGAUUAGAAGACUAUAUAUGGAAAAGGCAAGAGAUAAUUUGCUCAUUCUAUCCAUGAUAGCUAUGUAGUGUAAAACCACAGGAAGAAGAAAGCGCACACAGUUCUGCAAAGGUUUUUUUUUCUUUUUCUUUUUUGAGAAUCACUGCAAAGGUAAGAUUGAAACGGUGUCAUUACACUAAACUCUAUACGGACUGCAUCAUUGAACCAAAGUAAGAAGCCUAGAAAACGGGAUACGCAUCGUUCCAUUAAUCCAAGCCUAGCAGCGCAAGGCCCCAAGAUACACAAUACGAAGUCGUUUUGUUAAUCACAGUCAGCUUAGUAACUUAUUACUGUGAAUACGUGUAAAUCAGAUAUUUAAUUCUGUUUUUCACUAUCUGAGUUUGUUGGAAAAGCAUUGACAGUGUACGAAAAAAAAAUGUGUCAAAUUUACAUAUUUAAGCUCAAAAAUGCUACAGACACAAAUUAUUCUACAAAUAUUUUAUAAACUGCUAAUUUUACAAACUGUUAAUAUAGCAUAUUCCACCUCAGCUUUUUAAAAACUAAAAUACCACGAAAUUAACAAAGUAAAUAUUAAAAAAAAAAAACCCAAAUAACGCUUGCUCUGAUCUAGACGUGGUUUUAAAAGGGGGUCCUUGGUUUGUUGGACAACAGUUUCUUGCCAUUAGGAAAUGGGAACCGGAGUUUAAGGCGGAGGAAGCUUCCUUUUCCUCUGUGGCUGUUUGGAUUAGGCUGCCCGGUUUACCUAUUGAGUUCUAUGAACCCACCAUCCUCAAGAAAGUUGGUAGUGCAAUUGGACCUGUACUGCGUAUUGACUCUUAUACUGCAAAUGGUGCUAGAGGCCGAUUUGCUCGACUAUGUGUACAGAUUAACAUUGAUCAUCCUCUCAUCUAUUCUGUAAAAAUUGGGAAAAUGGUUCAGCUUGUCCAAUAUGAAGGGAUCAACAUGCUUUGUUUUUCUUGUGGCCGUUUAGGACAUCGCUUGGCUAACUGUCCUGAAGUGGUCCGAAGUAAUGUAGGGGCUUCUUCAAGCCCUUCUACUCAGUCACCACCGAGAAACCAAAGUUCCUCUGUUUCUCUGGAGAAGGACCAGUCCGGUGAACUCUCGCAGGAACGUUCUAUUCCCAAUGCUGAUGUGGAGUUGGAACACGUGGGCACGGUGUAUGGCGAGUGGAUGGUUGUGGCGCGUAAGAAGAAACCCAACGGGAAGAGUAACACCCACUCAAAUGGUUUCAAAGUUGAUGAGACUAAGGGGCAGGAUGUGAUUCCAAAUCCAAGGGAUCCCCAUGAAAUCCCUCGUGACGCGGCCCUCUUUUUUUUUUUUUUUUUUUUUGGUUUUUGUGUGACCAUGCCUUAAAUAAGAUAAGUAAGACUAUUUUAUGUGUUUUUUUUGGGGGUUGUAAGGGUGCUUGAACUAGCACUUGUACUUGCCUAUUGAGAUCUCACAUUCUCGAUAUUGUUAUGUUUUUUUUUUUUUAAUUUUGAUAUGUCAUUUGAUGAAGCAGAAAUUUGUCAGUUAUGCUUCCGUCAAUAUAGAUGGAUGGUGCCAAAUAACUCCACUGGCCAAUCUGCGAAGAAAGGUCACAAAGGGAUAAAAAGAAAGAGCACUGAUGUGUGGUGUUAG
rnacentral:sRNA from 1 species